CGUCUCAGUUCAGAUUGCAGGCUGCAACCCGCCCUGCAUGAAGUCGGAAUUGCUAGUAAUCGCGGAUCAGCAUGCCGCGGUGAAUACGUUCCCGGGCCUUGUACACACCGCCCGUCACACCAUGAGAGCCGGGGGGACCCGAAGUCCGUAGCCUAACCGCAAGGGGGGCGCGGCCGAAGGUAAAACUGGUGAUUGGGGUGAAGUCGUAACAAGGUAAC
rnacentral:rRNA from 1 species